CAGAAUUGGCGGUGGUGUGGAAGGCAGUCUCUUAGGAUCGAGAAAGACAUGUUUCCACUUCUGAGGCAUCCGAGCUUCAUCAGGACAGGAAACUCUGGCAAGCCAUCAUCCGAGAAGGAACAGCAACUUUCGAAGCCAACCGAUGUGCAGAAUUAGAAGAAAAGAGAAGAAAAUGGAAAGAAAGGCAACAACAACCAAAGCCCGAUCUGCCAUCUGGAACUACCUGUCCUGAAUGCGGAAGAACUUUCAAAGCCAAGAUUGGACUCAUAAGCCACUUGAGAGCCCAUAAGUAGUUCAACAGAACGAAGACCAUCAUCCUCGACCUCGAGGGAUAGCCACGACGAUG